rnacentral:rRNA from 1 species
GACGAACGCUGGCGGCGUGCUUAACACAUGCAAGUCGAACGGUGAAGCACCUUCCUUUUGGUGGGUGUGGAUGAGUGGCGAACGGGUGAGUAACACGUGAGUAACCUGCCCCCUUCUUCUGGAUAACCGCAUGAAAGUGCGGCUAAUACGGGAUAUUCUGGGUCUGUCGCAUGGCGGGCCUGGGAAAGAUAUUGUUUCGGUGGGGGAUGGGCUCGCGGUCUAUCAGCUUGUUGGUGGGGUGAUGGCCUACCAAGGCGGUGACGGGUAGCCGGCCUGAGAGGGUGGACGGUCACACUGGGACUGAGACACGGCCCAGACUCCUACGGGAGGCAGCAGUGGGGAAUAUUGCACAAUGGGCGCAAGCCUGAUGCAGCGACGCCGCGUGAGGGAUGGAGGCCUUCGGGUUGUAAACCUCUUUCGCCAGUGAAGCAGGCCUGUCCCUUUUGUGGGUGGGUUGACGGUAGCUGGAUAAGAAGCGCCGGCUAACUACGUG